rnacentral:lncRNA from 1 species
AAGGCUUGGACCUAGAUAGGUCGAUAACAUAGGGUGAGACCAACCCUUGAGUAAUGUAAAGUGGAUUCCGGAAUCCCUGCUGCUAGUGCAGCGGCUGCUAGAGCAGCAUACAAGCUCGAUAGUUCUUGGCCGCGGGUGCAUGUGGCAUAUUCCUCUCCCACCGGAAGAACUUCGAGGCUUGUUAAUGAGCAAGAACAAUGAGCGCUAGGGUGUAUGUGACAUGUUCCUCUCCCUAUCGGGGAUCUCGGCUGCGGGUGUAUGCGGCAUGUUCCUCUCCCACCGGGGGAUCCCUGACCACGGGUGCACGCAGCUCUCGGCGACCCGUUGGGCGAUGUGGUUUGUGAUUGAAGGCUGAGGUGCAUGUGAGAGUUCCUUCACCUCGAGCCGGACAGAGCGCGGAUUAUCCGCAGUUGAUUGACUCAAGACCGAGUCGGAUGGCAUAGUUGGCUAAGGUAAAGUAACCUUAGGAAAGAAAGGCUAAUGCGUAUAAUAUUACUAAGGUGUGAGUACCCUUAGUAAAGCGUAAAGAAUAAAGAAUAAAGAAUUAAGAAUAAGGAAAGGCUAAUGGUAAAGAAUGACAAGUAAUAAAGAAUAAAGAAAGGUUAAUGCUAAAGAAUAGCUAGUAAAGUAAAGAAUGAGUAAAAGUAAAGAAUGGAUAAGAAUAAAGUGUAGAAUCAAUUAAUCUACCUAUACGAGUUGCAUGGUUUGCAUAUUGCAUGUUGUGAGGCAAAAGCAUGGUAAUGUUAGUUGCAUGAUUUAUGAUUUCAUAUCUAUCUGUUGGACUAACAUGUUGUUUGCCUCCUUUGGACCUGAUGGUCGAGCUCUUCCCUUGAGUGGUCAUACCCACUCGGAACUAUGGAGUUAGUUCUCACCCCACGCUGUUUCGGGGUAUUACAGAUUCACACGUGAGCGGCGCGGCGGCGCGAGGAAGGGGCGUAGCUCCGUAGUUAGCGCCCUACCACUAAGACCAGAUAGCAGCACCCUGAGUCGGCUUCUUAGGGUAUAAAAUGCAAAGAACCAAGAGUGUGAUAAUUGUAAGAACAAUGUUGUAAUAGCUAUGUUGAAACUAGAUGUCACGCCCCGGGACCGAUGCCAAUUUGGCCCGACCCGAGCACGUCAAACAGACGCCGAACGGACAGAGUUUCCCCUAUCCGCCCAAGGCUCAUCACAUGUACAUUUUCAAUAAGAAGUGCACUAGCGGAAACAUACACAAACGGCUUACUCGAGGGUAAGCAAUAGCCAUUAGUGAAAGAAAAAGGAAACUAAACAUUCACAAGUAACAUGAUUCAUUUUGGAUCAUAUACAUUGCAUUCAUCGAGUAACUUUUGAAUUCUUUGCAUUUCAUUAUAUAGCUUCAUCAUUUCUUUCUUACAUUACAUUUACCUCAAAAUGAACAUUACAUUCUUUUCUUUACUUUGCUUUUUACAUCAACAUCUUAAAUCAUCAAAUACCAAGAUGAUAAAAGGGGUAAACUACUAACAAAAUGUAACCCAACUCCGGUGGCCUCUGACUACGGUGCGAUACCUUUACCGCGGUCGCUCGCCGGCUCGCUCGGUCCCGGCUCUGUAGAAAUAGUGGGGUGAGAACUACAACAAAGUUCCCAGUGGGUUCGGCCCCAACAUCACCGACUUUCCCACUAGGACUAACUCAGGCAUAAUAGAAAGGAUAAGUAAGAUAUAGUAACCAAUCUAUAACAUGAUGCUAAUAUGCCUGAACAAAUAGCAAGAAAUAUGCUCAACAUUAAAUAGAUGCAGGUUAUGCAUGUUCUUUCGUUCUUUACACUUUACACUUUGUUCUUUGUUCUUUGUUCUUUAAUCAUUAAGGCUAGCCCGGGGGUUUCGCCACUUUAACUUGCUUCACAUUAAGUCCAUCAUCGCAGGAACUCACCAGCUAGGACCGUCCUUUCGGGUUUACUCCAACCCGGAUGCAUAACUCCGGAGCGCAUCGCCCGAGGGGGAGCGACCACCCUCGAGCACGGAACUCAUAGCAAGUAUGAUCAUAUCCUUAACUCAAAGGAUUAUAAGUUCAAUCUGGACUUUACACUAGCUCCAGUGUUCUUUACAUCACUUUAUGUUGCAAACUCAUGCAAUCACAUUCUUUACAUUUUCAUUUCUCUUGCUAACUCUAGCAUUCUUGUUCUUAUUGCCCCAUUUUACUUUUUAACUUUACACGUUGUCACUUUCUUCAUUCUUUACAUCACUUUGGUUCUUUACAUUACACUAACUCUAGUGUCAUUUCACAUUAGCUUUAUCGAAUGCCACUCGAUCUAUGUCAUGUGCCACUCUGUUCUUUUGCUCACUUUGGGUGCUCACAUUUUCUCUCAUGCAUACAUCUAGGGUUUUAACAUUAUUAGGUUCUCAACCAUCUCAUUAUGCAAGUUGUGCUCACAAUCAUGCAAUCAUCAUAUCUCAUCAUUACUUUACCCUAAAAUGCAUGCAACAAUA